rnacentral:rRNA from 1 species
AGGUGCGAUCAUAGCAACGUUAACGCAUCGGAUCCCAUCAGAACUCCGCAAUUAAGCGUGCUUGGGAUAGAGUAGUACUGGGAUGGGUGACCUCCCGAGAAUUCCUAGUGUUGCACCGU